rnacentral:rRNA from 1 species
AUUAACUCGAUGCAACGCGAAAAACCUUACCUACCCUUGACAUGGAAGGAAUCCCCGAGAGAUCGGGGAGUGCCCGAAAGGGAGCCUUCACACAGGUGCUGCAUGGCUGUCGUCAGCUCGUGUCGUGAGAUGUUGGGUUAAGUCCCGCAACGAGCGCAACCCUUGUCAUUAGUUGCUACGAAAGGGUACUCUAAUGAGACUGCCGGUGACAAACCGGAGGAAGGUGGGGAUGACGUCAAGUCCUCAUGGCCCUUAUGGGUAGGGCUUCACACGUCAUACAAUGGUACAUACAGAGGGCCGCCAACCCGCGAGGGGGAGCUAAUCCCAGAAAGCGUAUCGUAGUCCGGAUUGUAGUCUGCAACUCGACUACAUGAAGUUGGAAUCGCUAGUAAUCGCGGAUCAGCUUGCCG